rnacentral:SRP_RNA from 1 species
GCCAGGCAUGGUGGUGCAUGCCUGUAAUCCCAGCUACUCAGGAGGCUGAGGCAGGAGAAUCGCUUGACCCCAGGAGGUGGAGGUUGCAGUGAGCCGAGAUGGCGCCACUGUACUCCAGCCUGGGUAACAGAGUGAGACUCUGUCCCCU